CAGUAUGUAGGCACUUCUAAAUCAAUGUUUUGAAACGCUCCCAUGCUUUGUGAAGGCUUUCUCCUUCUAACUGUUUAAAAAUCAAAAUUUUCCUUCUUAACUG
rfam:Gossypium arboreum cultivar AKA8401 contig_33847_1, whole genome shotgun sequence.